rnacentral:rRNA from 1 species
GAUGAACGCUGGCGGCGUGCCUAACACAUGCAAGUCGAACGGAGAUUACGGACGGAAGUUUUCGGAUGGAAGACUGUAAUUCUUAGUGGCGGACGGGUGAGUAACGCGUGGGCAACCUGCCCUAUACAGGGGGAUAGCAGCUGGAAGCGGCUGGUAAGACCGCAUAAGUCGGCGAGACCGCAUGGUUUUGCCGGGAAAUGAGCAAUCAGGUAUAGGAUGGGCCCGCGUCCGAUUAGCCAGUUGGCAGGGUAAAAGCCUACCAAAGCAACGAUCGGUAGCCGGACUGAGAGGUCGGACGGCCACAUUGGGACUGAGACACGGCCCAAACUCCUACGGGAGGCAGCAGUGGGGGAUAUUGCACAAUGGAGGAAACUCUGAUGCAGCGACGCCGCGUGAGUGAAGAAGUAUUUCGGUAUGUAAAGCUCUAUCAGCAGGGAAGAUGAUGACGGUACCUGACUAAGAAGCCCCGGCUAACUACGUG